rnacentral:rRNA from 1 species
UAGUAGUAGUUAUGGUCUUGAAAAUUAAAAAAUUUGGCGGUAUUUUAGUCUAUUCAGAGGAACCUGCCCUAUAAUCGAUGGUCCACGAGUUUAUUUACUUUUUUUAUUAGUAUACAUAUCGCCGUAGUUUGAAUAUUUUUAGAAAAGUUAAAUGUUCAAUAUUUAUUUAAUAAGGGAAUUCAGGUCAAGGUGUAGCCAAUAAAAAAGAAGAGGUGGGUUACAAUAAAUGUAUUUAUAAUGAAUAAAUUAAGUGUAAUUUUAUGAUGAAGGUGGAUUUGAGAGUAA